rnacentral:rRNA from 1 species
GCAAGGAAUAUUGCGCAAUGGGCGAAAGCCUGACGCAGCGACGCCACGUGAGGGAUGAAGGCCUUCGGGUCGUAAACCUCUUUUAUCAGGGACGAAUAAUGACGGUACCUGAGGAAUAAGUCUCGGCUAACUACGUGCCAGCAGCCGCGGUAAUACGUAGGAGGCAAGCGUUAUCCGGAUUCAUUGGGCGUAAAGGGGGAGUAGGCGGCUCUUCAAGUCGGAUGUAAAAUCUCUUGGCUUAACUGAGAGGGACCAUUCGAUACUGCUGGGCUAGAGUGCAGCAGAGGGAGGUGGAAUUCCCGGUGUAGUGGUGAAAUGCGUAGAUAUCGGGAGGAACACCAGUGGCGAAAGCGGCCUCCUGGGCUGUUACUGACGCUGAGGCCCGAAAGUGUGGGGAGCAAACAGGAUUAGAUACCCUAGUAGUCC